AUUGAACGCUGGCGGCAGGCCUAACACAUGCAAGUCGAACGAGAGGCGGACGGGCGAGCAAUGCUUGGGAAUCUGGCUUAUGGAGGGAGAUAACGACGGGAACCUGUCGAUACUACCGCUAACGAUAGGAUGAGCCCAAGUGGGAUUAGGUAGCUGGUGGGGUAUGGGCCUACCAAGCCGACGAUCUCUAGCUGGUCUGAGAGGAUGACCGGCCACACCGGGACUGAGACACGGCCCGGACUCCUACGGGAGGCAGCAGUGGGGAAUAUUGGGCAAUGGGGGCAACCUGACGCAGCCACGCCGCGUGAAUGAAGAAGGCCUUCGGGUUGUAAAGGUCUUUCGGUGACGAGGCGUUAAUCACAGAAGAAGCACCGGCUAACGCCGUGCCAGCAGCCGCGGUAAUUC
rnacentral:rRNA from 1 species